GUUAGAGCCAUAUCGCCCUGGUUUCCCACUGAAGCUAAGCAGGGUUGAGCCUGGCCAGAACCUGUAUGGGAGACCUCCGGGGGAAAACUAAGGUUGCUGCUGGAA
rnacentral:rRNA from 1 species